GACAGAGGGUGCGAACGUUGCUCGGAAUGACUGGGCGUAAAGCGCGUGUAGGCGGCCCGGUAAGUCCGCUGUGAAAGUCCAGGGCUCAACCCUGGAAUGCCGGUGGAUACUGUCGGGCUCGAGUCCGGAAGAGGCGAGUGGAAUUCCUGGUGUAGCGGUGAAAUGCGCAGAUAUCAGGAGGAACACCGAUGGCGAAGGCAGCUCGCUGGGACGUGACUGACGCUGAGACGCGAAAGCGUGGGGAGCAAACAGG
rnacentral:rRNA from 1 species